AGCCAUCCUUGGGAUACCACCCUUGUAGUACUGGGACUCUAACCAUAGGCCAUGAAUCUGGUCUUGGGACACUGUCAGGUGGGCAGUUUGACUGGGGCGGUCGCCUCCCAAAAGGUAACGGAGGCGCGCAAAGGUUCUCUCAGUACGGUCGGAAAUCGUACGUAGAGUGUAAAGGCAAAAGAGAGCUUGAUUGCAAGACAUACAGGUAGAGCAAGGAUGAAAAUCGGACUUAGUGAUCCGGUGGUUCUGCGUGGAAGGGCCAUCGCUCAACGGAUAAAAGCUACCCUGGGGAUAACAGGCUUAU
rnacentral:rRNA from 1 species